rnacentral:rRNA from 1 species
UUGAAAGGGAAACGAUUGAAGUCAGUCGUGCCGGUGGAAACUCAGCGAUUUUCCUUUGGGAAAGUUGUGAAAUUUUUCGCAUGGCAGGUCAGCAUCAGUUUCUUGAGUGGUAAAAAGGUUCUGGUAAGGUAGCUCUUCUCGAAGAGUGUUAUAGACCGGAGCAAAUGCCCCUUGCGAGACUGAGGAUUGCAGCAGACACCAUUCGUGGAGCGGCCCAUGAUCUCUGUCCGGCUCCCUGUGCUCAACAGCAUGCUGAGUGGGUGUGGGGACGCUUGAACACCNGUGCG